rnacentral:rRNA from 1 species
GACGAACCGUGCGAACGUUGUUCGGAAUCACUGGGCUUAAAGGGCGCGUAGGCGGGCCGCAAAGUCAGGGGUGAAAGCCUCCAGCUCAACUGGAGAAGUGCCUCUGAUACUGGCGGCCUCGAGGGAGAUAGGGGCGUGCGGAACUUCCGGUGGAGCGGUGAAAUGCGUAGAUAUCGGAAGGAACACCCGUGGCGAAGGCGGCCCACUGGGCCGGUACUGACGCUGAGGCGCGAAGGCGUGGGGAGCGAACGGG